rnacentral:siRNA from 1 species
CUAUGACUCUCUUAAGGUAGCC